rnacentral:misc_RNA from 1 species
GAUGAAGAACGCAGCGAAAUGCGAUAAGUAAUGUGAAUUGCAGAAUUCAGUGAAUCAUCGAAUCUUUGAACGCACAUUGCGCCCGCCAGCAUUCUGGCGGGCAUGCCUGUUCGAGCGUCAUUUCAACCCUCGAGCCCCCCCGGGGGCCUCGGUGUUGGGGGACGGCACACCAGCCGCCCCCGAAAUGCAGUGGCGACCCCGCCGCAGCCUCCCCUGCGUAGUAGCUCACACCUCGCACCGGAGCGCGGAGGCGGUCACGCCGUAAAACGCCCAACUUUCUUAGAGUUGACCUCGGAUCAGGUAGGAAUACCCGCUGAACUUAAGCAUAUCAAUAAGCGGAGG